ensembl:lincRNA
AUCAAAAAGACCCUGUUUAAGGAUUUUAUUUCACGCUCUUCUCAGAUGUUUUUGGUACAGUGUCCCUCUUCUUUUUCAAGGGCCACUAGAAGAUGCCAUUGAAGAGGAAGAAGAAGAAUGUCCAUCAGAGGAAACAGACAUUAUCUCAAAGGGGGACUUUCCACUGGAGGAAAGCUUCUCCACAGAAUUUGGGCCUGAAAAUCUGAGUUGUGAAGAGGUGGAAUACUUUUGCAACAAAGGUGAUGAUGAAGGAGUCCAGGAGACAGCAGAAUCAGAUGGGGACACGCAGUCAGAGAAACCAGGGCAACCUGCAGUUGAGACAGACGACUGGGAUGGACCAGGAGAGCUGGAGGUGUUUCAGAAAGAUGGAGAGCGAAAAAUUCAGAGUCGGCAGCAACUUCCAGUGGGAACCACCUGGGGACCAUUCGCUGGGAAGAUGGACUUGAAUAAUAAUUCCUUGGUAUGUGGAUGUUCUGAGAUGGUUGACUCUUAAUACUUUGUCAUGGCACAGAAAUUAUCUCCGCUUGCUUCCUGGUGAAAACACUAAAAGUAACAGUUUGCUUUUUCUUUUUCAUGGACCGUAAAACUGGAAUAUUUUCCAAGUGGUUUGUCUCUGACAGUAUUAAAUGCAGAAUUUAGAAGGAAACAGGUUAAUCACACUGAAUGGUUAUUUAGUAAGGUAAUUUAUAAGAUUGCUUUAUCUUCAUAGCCAGACUAAUAUUGUUCAUAUUUAAUAAUAUAUAUAAAUGCUUUUCUUCUUAAGAUGACACAAAUUGUCGUACAUUACAGGUUUACAUUAUGAACAAGAAAUAAACAGCCUUGAUAUUGCUUGGCAAUUCUAUUUGUACUUUUAAGAGUGAGGAUGAGUGAUCAGCAUCAUAAUUUUUCUUGUUAACUUUUUUGUAAAUAUUCUGAGCUUAGAAAGUCUACCUCUGGGAAAAAUUAUAUGAACGCUUGAUUUGCUAUCUUAAAAAGUUAUGGAAAGAUGGAGUAUUUGGUUACAUUUAAACUUCAUUUCUUAAUUCAAUAUGUUAGUUUCCUAUUGCAGCUCCAGCAAGUUACCAUAAACUUUGUGGCUUAAAACAACCCAAGUUUGUAGUCUUGUAGUCUGAAAUGAAUCAUAAUCUGAAGUGAAUCUAGUCUGAAAUGAAUCUCUCAGGGCUAAAAUCAAAGUGUCUGCAGGGCUUUUUUUGCUGGAGCUUCUAGAAGGUGGGGACAGAUGUUUUCUUUGCUUUUCCAUCUUCUAAAGGCUGUCCACAACCCGUGGCUCAUGGCUCCCUUCCAUCUUCACAACCAGCAAUGGCUGACUGAGUCUUUUACAUAUCUUUAUUCUGACUCUGACUCUUCUGUAUCCCUUUGCACAUUCGGGAAUGCGUGUGAUUACAUUGGGCCCACUUGAGUAAUCCAGGAUACUCUAGCAACUUUAACUCCAGCUGCUUUAAUUUCCUUUUGCCUUGUAAGGUAACCGGAGAAGGCAAUGGCACCCCACUCCAGUACUCUUGAUGGAAAAUCCCAUGGACGGAGGACCCUGGUGGGCUGCAGUCCAUGCGGUCACUAAGAGUCGGGCAUGACUGAGAGACUUCACUUUCACUUUUCACUUUCAUGCAUUGGAGAAGGAAAUGGCAACCCACUCCAGUGUUCUUGCCUGGAGAAUCCCAGGGACGGGGAGCCUGGUGGGCUGCCGUCUAUAGGGUCUCACAGAGUUGGACACGACUGAAGCAACUUAGCAGCAGCAGCAGCAGUAAGGUAACUUGCACAAAGUCCAGGAAUCAGGAUACCAGGACCUCUCCUAUUAUGCGUGAUAAUUCAAGUGACAAAACUUGGGGAUAAAAAUAUUAUAUAUAUAUGAAAUGGAAGUCCCUCUCUCUAAAUGCCAUUUAUGUAGGAAGAGUUUCAUGCCUCCUAAAUGACUAUCUGUAUUGAGGUGGUGGGGGUGGGGGCGUAAGAACUCCCAGAGGAGUUUUAACAAGUGUACUUGACUCAGCAAUGUUGCUUUCCUUUUUCAGUUGAUUACAUGAAAGAAAUCACUUCUUCGGGUUAUUACAUGAAAGAAACUAAUAUGUGCAGAUCUCUGCUUAUUUCGUGCCAUGUGAAUGAGAAAGAUGUUAUUGAUUUAACUAAAAGUAAUGACUGGAAUAAAUAAGAAACAGUUGUGUCAUCCAACUUUUAAACAGCAUAACAGAUUCAAGAAGUGUGCUUUUUACUUUCUAAAUCCUUGUGUUUAUCCGUAAAAGGAUAAAGUAGGAGACUUCACAUGUAUUUAAGAACCAAACAAGUUGACAGACCAGGCUAAAUAUUUAAUAAUCUGGAGUAGUAUACUGUGUGGUGGUCCAGUGUGCCUGCUGCAGAAGGUGUUUGAGAAGUGGCUCCACAAACACUGCUGACCUUCGUGGCUGAGUUGUAUAGUGGACUGUUCUAUUGAUUCCUUUGAUAGGGUGAUACCAGCUAUUAUACUGCUUAAUCAAGCAAAGGCAAGGGGAAGACUGUCUCAACAUCAAAGGUUGAAUUAAAUCCUUUGCAAAACCCAUUUUAUCUGAGUGUUUCUGUUGGUACUCUAGCAUUGCUUUCAAAAUGUUUUAGGCAAUAAGAUAUGUAUCUUAUUUAUCACUGUAUAUCAGACACCAACACAAACUUUUGUCAUUUGCCUAUUUCUUCAAAAGUGUAAUGCCGCUUAGGUGUCAGCUAUUGUUAAUGUAAGAAACACAUGUUUUCCUUUUUAUUAUAUCAACAUAAUAUCUCUAUGAAAAUGUUAUUUUUAAUUAAUCUUUAUAUCAUGAUAUACAUAUAGAAUGAUGCUUUUUAUACAUCUUUAGCAUAUGCUAAAUUUUGAUGUAUGGAAAGUAAACCUAUCUGUGGAAGUUCAAUUUUUCAAUGAAAUAAUUUCCUGUUUUUUAGACAUGAUAUAAUUUUUUUUCAUAUUUCUGUAUCACUCUAAAGCUAUCUUAUGCCAUACUUAAUAUCAUUUAAGUAAUUUGGUUAUAAGUGUGACAUUGUAGUAUUCUUGGUACUAUUUGAAGUGAAUGGAUACUGUGUAGUGUAUCAAAAACCCAGUCGUGGU